rnacentral:tRNA from 1 species
UCUCUGGUGGCUUAGAUGGUAAAGCGUCUGACUGCAAUGCAGGAGACCUGGGUUCGAUUCCUGGGUCGGGAA